CAGUACACUCAUCCAUAAAGUAGGAAACACUACACCCUCCAGUGCUGUUAGUAGUGCUUUCUACUUUAUGGGUGACUGGCCUCA
rnacentral:pre_miRNA from 1 species